rnacentral:tRNA from 1 species
UCCCGAUUCGUCCAAAUGGCAGGACGCCUGAUUCUGGAUCAGGCAAUCGAGGUUCGAGUCCUUGAUCGGGAG